rnacentral:rRNA from 1 species
UGGGCAACCUGCCCUCAGCUCUGGGAUAACUCCAAGAAAUUGGGGCUAAUACCGGAUAUGACUGCUGACCGCAUGGUCUGGUGGUGGAAAGAUUUAUCGGCUGGGGAUGGGCCCGCGGCCUAUCAGCUUGUUGGUGGGGUAGUGGCCUACCAAGGCGACGACGGGUAGCCGGCCUGGAGAGGGCGACCGGCCACACGUGGGACUGAGACACGGCCCAGACCUCCGUACGGGGAG